rnacentral:misc_RNA from 1 species
AAGAGUUGAAAAACUCCCAAACCCCUGUGAACUAUACCUGUGUCGUUGCUUCGGCGGGUGGUUUUGUCACCAAAGCCCCCGCCGGAGGUACCCAAACUCAUGUUUUAUAGUGUAUCUCUGAGACAAAAACAAACAAGUCA